AGAACUCGGAACUUGCCAAGUCCUCUCUGCUCUCUGAGAACAGGGUCAGGAUGUUCUCCCUCAUUGGAACCCACUUCCCUGCCUUCCUCUCAUCCUUCAGAUGAGGGAACUUGAGACACAGAGAGGGACUUUGAGUUACAAGAAACAGAAGUGGAUCCUAGAUGAUGCAGGCCUUUCCUCAAAUAUAGAAAAACUAUUUGGAAGACCAUGGGUCUGAAUGCAAAGUGCUAUCCUGAGUUGGAUCCUGGAACGAAAAAAGGACAUCAGUAGAA